UGCAGUUGGUACUUAACAGACAUGGG
rnacentral:piRNA from 1 species